rnacentral:precursor_RNA from 1 species
UAGGGUUAGAAACUUGGCUCUGCACGGGAUCUGAUUACUUUU